CCUACGGGAGGCAGCAGUGAGGAAUAUUGGUCAAUGGGCGCGAGCCUGAACCAGCCAAGUAGCGUGAAGGAUGACUGCCCUACGGGUUGUAAACCUCUUUUAUAAAGGAAUAAAGUGAGGCACGUGUGCCUUUUUGUAUGUAUCUUAUGAAUAAGGAUCGGCUAACUCCGUGCCAGCAGCCGCGGUAAUACGGAGGAUCCGAGCGUUAUCCGGAUUUAUUGGGUUUAAAGGGAGCGUAGAUGGGUUGUUAAGUCAGUUGUGAAAGUUUGCGGCUCAAACGUAAAAUUGCAAUUGAUACUGGCAGCCUUGAGUACGGUAGAGGUAGGCGGAAUUCGUGGUGGAGCGGUGAAAUGCAUAGAUAUCACGAAGAACUCCGAUUGCGAAGGCAGCCUACUAGACUGCCACUGACAUUGAUGCUCGAAAGUGUGGGUAUCAAACAGGAUUAGAUACCCGAGUAGUC
rnacentral:rRNA from 1 species